CGGGCUCUUCGGAGCUAGUGGCAGACGGGUGAGUAACGCGUGGGAACCUACCUAUAAGUACGGAACAACACAGAGAAAUUUGUGCUAAUACCGUAUGUGCCCUUUGGGGUAAAGAUUUAUCGCUUAUAGAUGGGCCCGCGUUAGAUUAGCUAGUUGGUGAGGUAAUGGCUCACCAAGGCGACGAUCUAUAGCUGGUCUGAGAGGAUGAUCAGCCACACUGGGACUGAGACACGGCCCAGACUCCUACGGGAGGCAGCAGUGAGGAAUAUUGGACAAUGGGGGCAACCCUGAUCCAGCCAUGCCGCGUGAGUGAUGACGGCCUUAGGGUUGUAAAGCUCUUUCGCUAGGGAAGAUAAUGACGGUACCUAGUAAAGAAGCCCCGGCUAACUUCGUGCCAGCAGCCGCGGUAAUACGAAGGGGGCUAGCGUUGUUCGGAAUCACUGGGCGUAAAGCGCGCGUAGGCGGACUUUUAAGUCAGGGGUGAAAUCCCGGGGCUCAACCUCGGAACUGCCUUUGAUACUGGAAGUCUUGAGUUCGAGAGAGGUGAGUGGAAUACCGAGUGUAGAGGUGAAAUUCGUAGAUAUUCGGUGGAACACCAGUGGCGAAGGCGGCUCA
rnacentral:rRNA from 1 species